ACAGCCUCGUCGCAGGCGAUGUCAAGCCUCUGCGGACCUUGGUAGCGGCAAACCCAUCGCCGACCAACCCAGCCGCCUAGUAGCCUACUGCCUACAGCCAAAGCAAGCAUUGAUCCCUCCUUUACCUUGCCAUGGGCUAGAACCUCAGCGGAUAACUACCAUCAAUCUGGGGGCAUUCCAAUAAAUGAAUCUUUUGAAACCUGCUUAAGGGCUGUUCAGAUCCUGCCUGCUGGUCUUGCAACUGAUGCAGUGCGAGAGUGUGAAGAGCUGAGAACUCAAGGUAUUGUUUUUAUUUGUUGGAAGAAUUCCAUUCUCUUAGCUCACCAAGGUUGGCCAGAUAACAGAAGCGGUUUAUCUAUCCGAUAUUUUCCAAGUGCUAUAAAAUAUGUUACCAAUAAUCAGACGUACAACAGCCGGGCCAGAGAAGCAGACAUUAUCAUCUGUUCUUGAUAUUCUAUUUUGUACAACAGUUUCUGCUGAAACAAUAAUUGAAUGCAAAAGCAAGUGAAACAUGGAAAUUUUACA